rnacentral:rRNA from 1 species
GAUGAACGCUGGCGGCGUGCUUAACACAUGCAAGUCGAACGGUGAACGAGGGAGCUUGCUCCCUCCGGAUCAGUGGCGAACGGGUGAGUAACACGUGAGCAAUCUGCCCUGGACUCUGGGAUAAGCGUUGGAAACGACGCCUAAUACCGGAUACGAGACGCGAAGGCAUCUUCAGCGUCUGGAAAGAACUUCGGUCCAGGAUGAGCUCGCGGCCUAUCAGGUAGUUGGUGAGGUAAUGGCUCACCAAGCCUACGACGGGUAGCCGGCCUGAGAGGGUGACCGGCCACACUGGGACUGAGACACGGCCCAGACUCCUACGGGAGGCAGCAGUGGGGAAUAUUGCACAAUGGGCGCAAGCCUGAUGCAGCAACGCCGCGUGAGGGACGACGGCCUUCGGGUUGUAAACCUCUUUUAGCAGGGAAGAAGCGAAAGUGACGGUACCUGCAGAAAAAGCACCGGCUAACUACGUGCCAGCAGCCGCGGUAAAAC